UAUAUAAUGAUGUUAACGGCAAAAGUCAAGGAAUGUGGAAAAGUGAAGACACGUAAGACAUGGGAGUUAUUUGGGGCAACAGACUUCGAAUCGUUGAUGUACCCUUGCUUUCGCAUCUGCUGGUUACUCGGAUAUUUUCCUUACAAAUAUCAACCUCCACUAUACUCACUUUCGAAGCAACGUUUUGCCUUCUCCACGUCUAUAAUGUUCAUCUUCGUAUUCUUGUUACUUUUCAUAAUCUACGAAAUCAACAUUGGCACGAGAAUAAACUACAGCAUACCAGAGUCGAUUCACGGGAACAUGUACGCGUUCUUAGAUGGGCUCGUGAUCGUGGUGAUGUAUUUGUUAAUUGACGCUCGAUUAUCGGUGAUCCAAAAUCUGUCAAGGACCAGCUGUAUAUUGUCUACAAAGGAUUUCAAAGAUUUAUCUAAGGUGAUUCACACGAAGGACAUUUUAUGUUUUCUAUUUCUGGCCAUCCAUAUACCAAACUGUUUUAAGCACAACAUUUUCGUGACAGUACGAAAUCUUACCAACAUAUACAUAAUGAUGGCCAACUUUUCCAUGGACAUAUUCUACAUAAAUUGCGUGUGUAUUUUGAAAGAUUGCUUCAUGAAAAUGGAUGAAUCUAUACAACAGCUGAAGAAGCUCCGAAUCAAUGAUAAUAUGUCGACGCAGACGUUUAUGCAUCAUGAACAGCUAAAUACAUUGGUGGUGACGAAGCUGAAGAGUUUAGAGGAAAAACAUUUGGAAAUCAGCGAUGGGGUGGCAUUAUUGAAUAAUACGUUUAUGAUACGUAUUACAGUCGCAGCUAUUAUGACGUUCAUCGUGGUUACUUUCGAUAUAUAUUUCUAUAUAAUUUAUUCAUACAGUGAAUUUCCUGUAAACAACAAGUUCUGGUACAAACCGUAUGUCACGCCAGCCGCUUUCUAUUUUAUCAAGUUUUGGAUGAUGAUUUGGGCGUGCGAAACAGCGACGAAUCGAGCGAGAAAAAUGAGGACGACACUUUGGGAUGUUUUCAGUAUUACAAACGAUCCAUUCGUGAAACGCGAGGUGGAGCUUUUUUCUCUGCAAAUAAUGCACACGACAAACAUAUUCACGGCAAAGACAUUCGAUAUGAAUUCAUCAUUUUUGGCAAAGUUUCGAUCGUUGAAAUUACCAGGGCUCAAAUGCAGAAAACUGGCCGCAACGUUCAUCGAAUUCUUGUACAUACUUUCGACGAGCAGGUGACGACGGAGUUGGAGUUGUUCUCGUUGCAAGUGCUACAAAAGAGUAACGCGUUUGUGAUGAAGGGACUCGUAAUAGAUGCAACCCUUUUGACAAAGAUGGCGUGCAGCAUUACCACUUUUUUGUUAAUAUUAGUACAAUUCUUA